rnacentral:rRNA from 1 species
UACAGAGGGUGCGAGCGUUAAUCGGAAUUACUGGGCGUAAAGGGUGCGUAGGCGGUGAUAUAAGUUAGGUGUGAAAGUCCUGGGCUUAACCUGGGGAUUGCGCCUGAUACUGUAUGACUAGAGUACUGUAGAGGAAAGUGGAAUUUCCGGUGUAGCGGUGAAAUGCGUAGAUAUCGGGAGGAACACCGGUGGCGAAGGCGACUAUCUGGGGUGCAACUGACGCUGAGCCGCGAAGGCUAGGGUAGCAAACAGG